AAUAAAAUGGCUGAGUUUAAGCGAUAAAUUGUAAAUUUAUUAACAAGAAUAUUUCUUUUUUAUUA
rnacentral:tRNA from 1 species